UGGGUUGCCUGGGCAACCAGGGAAGGUCGGCUGACCAGAAGGGGCAGGGCCUGGCUCCCUUAUAAACCCUAGGGGCUGGGGCUAGAGGCAGUUCCCUGCCAGCUACCAAAGAGGAAGGAGCUCUCUGCCCUGGGAGAGAGGGGAAACCUGAUGCAGGGGCUGCAUCUGAGAGUUAAACGGUCACCGCUCCUGCAUGGACUGAGGAUCAGCCUUGUUUUGGAGAGGGUUAAUAUGAGCUGAGUUGCAAGGAACAAUAUAUAUUUCAAAAGCAGACGGCACCAUGGUCAAACAGAGCAAGGUGAACAGGCAGAUAGGCAGCCAUAGCUUUAAACAUCUGAGGAAGAGAGAAACAGUUAUAUCUCAGGACUCAGUGCUGCAAGAGCCUCUUUUAAGCACUGCUUUGGAGAUUUCUAAGAAGUUGAAAAAUGCAUGCAGUAUCCUAGCUAAGAGGGAUGAAUUGAGUUACUUGGUCAGCAGGAUUUUUUUGGCAUGUUACUGCUUCAUCCUUUCACUCUAGAUAUAUAGCAUCUUUCAUACAAAAGUAUUGCAAAAUGCUUCAUCACUAUUAAAAGUAAACCUGAAAAAUCUUUCAAAGAGAUAUAAUUAGUUUCCAAGCUUCUCUAAUGACCUGUUUUGUUGUUUUGUCAAUAGUAUUACAUUAUCUACCUUGUCUACUUAUUCUCAAGGAUCAGUUUGUCUGCAAAUA